UACAAAUGCUCAUGUGGGGAGGAAGUUGAGGUUCCGCUGACUAGGUAUAAGGUCGUUGUGAUAAUGGAGUAUUGUGAUCAUAAGGCUGAAUUUUUAUUCUGGGACAAGGAAUGCUUUCAAAUUCUUGGAGUUGCUGCUGAUACUCUUAGAAAGACAAUGCAACAGGUUGGUGAGGAUGAUCCUCAUAUAUAUCCUGAAGUUCUAGACAAGUUGCUUAAGAUUGAAUUUGCAUUGCGUGUAAAGUAUCAGCCGUAUUAUCAUCAG